AUACGGAGGGUGCAAGCGUUGUUCGGAAUUACUGGGCGUAAAGCGCGCGUAGGCGGUUUGUUAUGUCAGAUGUGAAAGUCCACGGCUCAACCGUGGAAGUGCAUUUGAAACUGGCAAACUUGAGUACUGGAGGGGGUGGUGGAAUUCCCGGUGUAGAGGUGAAAUUCGUAGAUAUCGGGAGGAAUACCGGUGGCGAAGGCGACCACCUGGCCAGAUACUGACGCUGAGGUGCGAAAGCGUGGGGAGCAAACAGGAUUAGAAACCCGAGUAGUCC
rnacentral:rRNA from 1 species